GCUUUGGUCAGUUCUUUGUGUCUGGAGAAGGAGGAGGUGGAAGAAAAGGGGGAGGAGGUUAUCGUUCCCUGUUCCCUGGAGUCUGGAAGGGGUUGCAGGCGGCUGGAGAUCCUCCUGUCCCGGCCCUUGGCCCUUUUCCCUUCUCGUCCCCCAGUACACCUCCAACUCUUUCUUCCAACUGGCGGCAUUCCAAGGAUCCUCCUUGCACCAGUGUAGGGGUGUGAGGAAGAAAAAAUGCAGCACAACUGAAGGAUGCAUUUGGAAAACAUGUGCAAUGUGUAACACCUCUGUACAUCUCACCUCCAGGAAGGUGUAUCGGCACCAUAUUCACGUCAUAAAAGGAAUUUGG